CAGCAGCCGCGGUAAUACGGGGGGUGCAAGCGUUGUUCGGAAUCAUUUGGCGUAAAGAGCGUGUAGGCGGCUAGACAAGUCAGAUGUGAAAUCCCUGGGCUUAACCCAGGAAGUGCAUUUGAAACUGUCCUGCUUGAGUAAGGGAGAGGAAAGUGGAAUUCCUGGUGUAGAGGUGAAAUUCGUAGAUAUCAGGAGGAACACCGGUGGCGAAGGCGACUUUCUGGCCCUAUACUGACGCUGAGACGCGAAAGCGUGGGUAGCAAACAGGAUUAGAUACCCUGGUAGUCCACGCUGUAAACGAUGUUCACUAGGUGUUGGGGGUAUUGACCCUUUCAGUGCCGCAGCUAACGCAUUAAGUGAACCGCCUGGGGAGUACGGUCGCAAGAUUAAAACUCAAAGGAAUUGACGG
rnacentral:rRNA from 1 species